CCCAAAUCAGUUUCCACUUUUCCCCAACCCUAAUCUCCUAACGGCGAACCCUCCCGUCACCACCUCACCUCACUCCGUCAGUGUCGCUCACCCAGCCACCGCCGCCAGCCGCCCGCCGUCAUCUCCUUCGUCUCACUGCCGGACACCGAUUCUAAACUCUGAAGUCUGAAGGAACAGAACAGAGUACAAACCCGCGGCUCCGCUUCGUCCCUGUCUCUCAUCGCCCUCGCCGUUGGCUCGCCGUUGCCGCGCCGUCGCCCUCGCCGUUGCAUCGCUCUUCUGCUCUGUCAAAUAGGUUGAGGCUUAAUUGAUCACGAACCACAUCUUGCAAGACACGUUUGAUGAAAAUGCUCCCUACACUGUUCACUUUGUUAUGGUUUGGAGUUAUGGACUCUGAAAACAUUGUUUAAGUGGCCAAAGCAAAUUACAAAUUCCACAGAAAAUAUUUUUUAGUUGGUUUCAUGGUUUAGUUGCUAGCUACAAAGGAUGAUCUUUAGUUGGUAAAUCCAAUGCUUCUUAAGAAUAUGUGCUUUUUUGAUCUAGAGAACUCAAAGACCAGAGAACUGGCAGAUUAAAGUCCACAUGAUGCUUCCAAUGGGCCUUAAGUAUAUAUUGCAAGUUUCUUCUUUCUUUUUGUUUCUUUCUUCUUCUUACAUUUAUUUUUUUUGUAUUUUCAGGGAUGCACACUGAUGCUUAAUUUUUUUAUGAUGACUCGAUUUUAGAGAAGUUCUCUGCGAAAAUUAGUGCGUCCAUCAUUGGUGUAAUUAGAAUGGAAACAUCACUUGGGAGAUACGAUAUUAGGGAUGUUUUUUUGUUUAGUUUGUGUAUAAUUUUAUAUUCCAUGAAUUUUGUUCUUUUGUUUCCAGGUUACCAAGUGACUAGAAGGAAGAGUGUGUUGAACAACAAUGUUGAAAGAAUGGAGUUAAGUUUGUGUUA